AAUCNCUNACCCAGUCGUCAUGUGUAUGAGGCGCUUGCGUUUCCUCGAGCGGGNUCGCCCGCCGAUUGGACAAUUUAAACCAUUUGCAGUUGCAAUCAGCGUCUGAAAAAACAUAAUAGUUACAACUUUCAACAACGGAUCUCUUGGUUCUGGCAUCGAUGAAGAACGCAGCGAAAUGCGAUAAGUAGUGUGAAUUGCAGAAUUCAGUGAAUCAUCGAAUCUUUGAACGCACAUUGCGCCCCUUGGUAUUCCAUGGGGCAUGCCUGUUCGAGCGUCAUUUGUACCUUCAAGCUCUGCUUGGUGUUGGGUGUUUGUCUCGCCUCUGCGUGUAGACUCGCCUCAAAACAAUUGGCAGCCGGCGUAUUGAUUUCGGAGCGCAGUACAUCUCGCGCUUUGCACUCAGAACGACGACGUCCAAAAGUACAUUUUUACACUCUUGACCUCGGAUCAGGUAGGGAUACCCGCUGAACUUAAGCAUAUCAAUAAGCGGAGGAA
rnacentral:rRNA from 1 species